rnacentral:rRNA from 1 species
UACGAAGGGGGCUAGCGUUGUCCGGAAUUAUUGGGCGUAAAGCGCGCGCAGGCGGUCCUUUAAGUCUGAUGUGAAAGCCCACGGCUCAACCGUGGAGGGUCAUUGGAAACUGGGGGACUUGAGUACAGAAGAGGAAAGCGGAAUUCCACGUGUAGCGGUGAAAUGCGUAGAGAUGUGGAGGAACACCAGUGGCGAAGGCGACUUACUGGACACAUAUUGACGCUGAGGUGCGAAAGCGUGGGGAGCAAACAGG